UGAUAGAGGAGCGGUGCUAUAAGAGUAGCGUGGCGCAACCGGAACAAUGGGUGCUGCGUGAAAGGAUACAUCGCCGAAGUGGAAAAGGGCUUGUUCGCUUGUUUCUGCUGGGCCGUUGCAAAACAUGUAACGGACUGUCACUUUAUAGUGGAGCGCUGUC
rnacentral:ncRNA from 1 species